GACGAACGCUGGCGGCGUGCCCAAUACAUGCAAGUCGAACGCUUCUUUCCUCCCGAGUGCUUGCACUCAAUUGGAAAGAGGAGUGGCGGACGGGUGAGUAACACGUGGGUAACCUACCCAUCAGAGGGGGAUAACACUUGGAAACAGGUGCUAAUACCGCAUAACAGUUUAUGCCGCGUGGCAUAAGAGUGAAAGGCGCUUUCGGGUGUCGCUGAUGGAUGGACCCGCGGUGCAUUAGCUAGUUGGUGAGGUAACGGCUCACCAAGGCCACGAUGCAUAGCCGACCUGAGAGGGUGAUCGGCCACACUGGGACUGAGACACGGCUCAGACUCCUACGGGAGGCAGCAGUAGGGAAUCUUCGGCAAUGGACGAAAGUCUGACCGAGCAACGCCGCGUGAGUGAAGAAGGUUUUCGGAUCGUAAAACUCUGUUGUUAGAGAAGAACAAGGACGUUAGUAACUGAACGUCCCCUGACGGUAUCUAACCAGAAAGCCACGGCUAACUACGUG
rnacentral:rRNA from 1 species